rnacentral:rRNA from 1 species
ACGAACGCUGGCGGCGUGCCUAAUCCAUGCAAGUAGAACGCUGAAACUUGGUGCUUGCACCGAGCGGAUGAGUUGCGAACGGGUGAGUAACGCGUAGGUAACCUGCCUGGUAGCGGGGGAUAACUAUUGGAAACGAUAGCUAAUACCGCAUAAGAGUAGAUGUUGCAUGACAUUUGCUUAAAAGGUGCAAUUGCACCACUACCAGAUGGACCUGCGUUGUAUUAGCUAGUUGGUGGGGUAACGGCUCACCAAGGCGACGAUACAUAGCCGACCUGAGAGGGUGAUCGGCCACACUGGGACUGAGACACGGCCCAGACUCCUACGGGAGGCAGCAGUAGGGAAUCUUCGGCAAUGGACGGAAGUCUGACCGAGCAACGCCGCGUGAGUGAAGAAGGUUUUCGGAUCGUAAAGCUCUGUUGUAAGAGAAGAACGAGUGUGAGAGUGGAAAGUUCACACUGUGACGGUAUCUUACCAGAAAGGGACGGCUAACUACGUG